GACGAACGCUGGCGGCGUGCCUAAUACAUGCCAGUCGAACGCUUCUUUCCUCCCGAGUGCUUGCACUCAAUUGGAAAGAGGAGUGGCGGACGGGUGAGUAACACGUGGGUAACCUACCCAUCAGAGGGGGAUGACACUUGGAAACAGGUGCUAAUACCGCAUAACAGUUUAUGCCGCAUGGCAUAAGAGUGAAAGGCGCUUUCGGGUGUCGCUGAUGGAUGGACCCGCGGUGCAUUAGCUAGUUGGUGAGGUAACGGCUCACCAAGGCCACGAUGCAUAGCCGACCUGAGAGGGUGAUCGGCCACACUGGGACUGAGACACGGCCCAGACUCCUACGGGAGGCAGCAGUAGGGAAUCUUCGGCAAUGGACGAAAGUCUGACCGAGCAACGCCGCGUGAGUGAAGAAGGUUUUCGGAUCGUAAAACUCUGUUGUUAGAGAAGAACAAGGACGUUAGUAACUGAACGUCCCCUGACGGUAUCUAACCAGAAAGCCACGGCUAACUACGUG
rnacentral:rRNA from 1 species